AAUUAAAUUUUUGUUGAAAAUUUUUUUAAACUAUUUAAAAUAAAAUCUACACUCUUGAUUUUAAUUGAAAAUCUUGUAUCAUUAUUUAUUGAAGAAUAUUUAUUUUCGGUUGUUUAUUUUUUGUGUCUAUUUGAUGCACAAGAAAAUUAUAUCAAGAAAAUAUAAAAUUUAAUUUCUGGAUACUUUAAGUGAUUUGGAUUAUGCUCAAUAAUGUCGAUCGUCAAAUCAGAAGUUACAUUAAAUUAGUAGCACUAGAGUUUAUUUGCUGUUGAUAGCAUUUAAAUAAAAUCUAUCACUCUUGAUUUUAAUUAAAAAACUCGUAUCAUUAUUUAUUGAAGAAUAUUUAUUUUCAGUUGUUUAUUUUUUGUAUCUACUUGAUGCACAAAAAAAUAAUAUUGAAAAGAAUAUAAAAUUUAAUUUUUAGGUACUUUAAGCGGUCUAGAUUAUGUUUAAUAAUGUCGGUAGUUGAUUCAAAAUUUUCAUUAUUAAAAAUAAAU
rnacentral:lncRNA from 1 species